rnacentral:lncRNA from 1 species
CUGAGGUCCUUCUUUUGCUGCUGGAACUUAGGCCCUUUGAGUCUCUCCUCUAUCUCUUGGUAGAUGAACUGAGCUUCUUGGUACCCAGUUCUUGCUUUCUGUGGAGUCUGCUGUGUCCAAGGUGCGGUCUCAGUCAUGAUCUUUGAUUUGUGUUUCAGCGGCGAAUGAUGAUCUUUUGGCUUUGCUAUUGUUGAAUCUCUGCUUUGAACAGCGUGAGGGAGCUGAUCACCUUUUGCAUCCCGAGUUCCUCUUGGUCUUGUUGCUGAGGUACAGUCUCUCGGUUCAUGGGAAGGAGCACAGCUUUUUCUGGCAACUGCUGCUUGAGCUGCUGAGUUCGAGCCGAGCAUUUCAUCCAAG